AUUGAACGCUGGCGGCAGGCCUAACACAUGCAAGUCGAACGAGUGGCGGACGGGUGAGUAAUGUAUGGGAAACUGCCUGAUGGCGGGGGAUAACUACUGGAAACGGUGGCUAAUACCGCAUACCAUCGGAUGUGCCCAUAUGGGAUUAGCGAGUUGGUGGGGUAAAGGCUCCCCUAGGCCACGAUCCCUAGCUGGUCUGAGAGGAUGACCAGCCACACUGGAACUGAGACACGGUCCAGACUCCUACGGGAGGCAGCAGUGGGGAAUAUUGCACAAUGGGCGAAAGCCUGAUGCAGCCAUGCCGCGUGUAGGAAGAAGGCCUUCGGGUUGUAAAGUACUUUCAGCGGGGAGGCGUUACCCGCAGAAGAAGCAACGGCUAACUCCGUGCCAGCAGCCGCGGUAAUAC
rnacentral:rRNA from 1 species